AAAAAUUUUAAAAAAAAAAAGUUCAUUUUAAGCAUAAUAGCCUAAAGGACCGGAUGACAUCAUCAAGAUGGUGACAUAGAUUGUUCCUGGUUCCUAACUUCAAUCUUCCUAAUAUGAAGACCAACUAGCCACUAUGCAGACAGGACACCAUUAUGAAACUGCAGAGUCCAGGGAGGAGGCUGUAGGCCUCCCCUGGACAACAGAGACUGAGCAGGACUGCAUUUGAAAGAAGCCGGGCAAGAAGGCGGAGGAGCAGGGUCCUCACCUCACCUGGUCCCCCCGACUCACCUGGAUAACUUUCAAACCACCCUGAAAACCUAUGAAUCUGACCUGAGAUGUAAAGAGAGGACAGCCGGAUGCUACAGAGAGAAGGGUUUUCGCUUCUAACAAGUCAAGGAAAUUGAGGCUUACUGAAGUAAGAUAAUGUGGCCAAGAUCAACAGCUGGAACUCAUGGAUAUUGAACCAGACAGUAUGUUGCAAUGGUAAAUAAAACAGAAAAUAUCCCUGCUUCAUGGCAUUUACCAUCUACUAGAAAAGUUGGACAUAAACACUCACUUAAUUAUAUAAUUAAAUGUUGUGAUAACUUCUGUGAAGUAAAUUAACUGGCUCCUAAGAGACAGAAUAACAGCUGGGGAGUGGGAGCUAAGUUGGACUGGAGAAUUGGUGGGUAUAGUAUUUGAACUGAAUCUUAAUAGAUGAGUUGCUUUUAGCUAAGUGAAGACUGUUAACGGAUGGGUGAGAAGAGGUGAAGGAGCUGUAUCAGUGGAGAAAAUAACAUAUGUAAAACCUGAGGCAGGCACAAGGUUCGUGUUCUCUAGGAACCUUUUUGAAACUGGUUCAGUGAUGCUGUCAUGUGCAAACAUGAGAUGGAGUUUUAAGAUCUAGACAGAGGCCAGAUCCUGCAGAUCGUUUGGGGCCAUGUUAAAGAGAUUGGGUUUUAUCUGAAAUAGAAAGCAAAGCCAUUGAAAGGGAUAGGAGAGGGAACCUUUUCAUAUUGGACAAAUUUAUUUUCAAUGACCAUGAGGCAUUUAAGUGGCUGAGUCAAGUAGUUAACUGGAUAUGAGCUUGUCAUUCUGGGGGUUAGGAUUGUCAAUAUCAAUUUGGACAUCAUUAGCACAGACAGUAUUUUUAAAAUCAUGAGAAUGAAUGAGACCACUAGGUUGAGAGUCUAAGAAAAGAACCCAAAGAACUUCAACAUUGAGAUGUUGAUAAAAAGAGUAACGAGGGCAGCCCAGGUGGCUCAGUAGUUUAGUGCUGCCUUCAGCCCAGAGCGUGAUCCUGGAGUUCCAGGAUCCAGUCCCAUGUCGGGCUCCCUGCAGGGAGCCUGCUUCUCCCUCUGCCUGUGUCUCUGCCUCUCUCUCUCCUCUCUGUGUAUUCUCAUGAAUAAAUAAAUAAAAUCUAAAAAAAAAAAAAAAAAAAGGAGUAACGAGCAAAGGAGACUAAGAAAGAAUUGCCAAAAAUAUAAGAGGAACUGUGGUGUCAAGGCAUCAAUGAAGCCCAUGGUUUUGACAAAUAGUGGCCACUUGGGUCAAAUCUUCAAAGUCCAUUAUAGAGGUCAGUGUCAACUUUAGCAACAAUGAGUUAGAUGGAGUGUUGGAGGCAGAUGCCAGAUUCAAGCGAGUGGAAAGGCAAACAGAAGGUUCAGAAAUAAAGCCAAGGCCAGAGGAAAGUUUUUAAAAAAGAUUUAAAUACAAACAGAAAGAGAAAUACAGAGCAGUAAGUGUGGGAAGAUGAGAUGCUUAAAACAAACAAACACACAACUUUUUUAAAGACCAGAAGUAGUAGAAAACGCUUAUAUGUUAAUAAAACAAUCCAAUUGGAGCAGAGGUUUAAGAUGAAGGGGAGAGGAAGAACAACUGAAGAUGUAAAUUCCUUGAGAAGGUGAGAGAGCCCAGGAUUCAGAAUAGAAGUAGAGGGCCUCUUUGUUAGGAGAAGUGGUUACUGAUCCUAAUGAUGUGGUGAUACAAAUUUACUCAGCUGCAUGAAUCUCUUCAUUGAUGCCCAGCUUCAAAGAUACAGCCUAGAGGCAGGUAAUUGGGUUGAUGUCAUGUGGAGUUUUGCCAGAGCAGUUCAUGAGAUUGAGAGAUCAACAAUGGCAAUUUACAAGGGGGUGCUGAUAGCAGGUUGGGCUUGGGACUUUUGAUAAUAGACUGAUGCAGACUUGGUAUUUGUAGUAGUGAGCAGCAUGUGGCCUAACUACUUUCGAGAUGUGUCCUGCGAUGUAUAUUCAAUUUGAAGGCUAAUACCUGUUUCUUUAUUGCUACUUCUGAAAUAUAUCUAGGCAUGAACAUUUUAGUAGCUAAAAUGUAGUGCCAAUUUUUCUCAUUCGGCAUUCUUCAGUCAAGUAAGUAAGUAAGAAUAAGCAUUUUUAUGGAUCUCUAUAAACAUUAUUUUCAUUUUGAAUUCUAAAAAUGGGUCUUGUAAACACCUUUUCAAAAUUUUAUUCCAAGUUGGUCUUCACGCAAAGACUGAGCUCAUUACUAAGACUGAGGGCAUGGUGGCUGUGAAGAACAAUCACAGGCUCAGGGGAUGAGUGAGUGGGCAAUGACUCUGGGGCAGUCACUUUCACUUAGAACACAUUUCUAAAAGUGUUGCUUCUGGAAACUUCCUAACCACUGGGUAUCACAAAUGAUUACUUGGCCUACUGGGUGAAAGAUGUCACAAAUUAGCUUUAAGAAAUUUAAAAAUAUGAGUCUAAAUAUGAAUGUAAGUUAGAUUAGAGUGCACAUGUAAAGGAACUGAUUUUUAACAUUUUUGGAUAAGAUUUCCCUGUUUACAAUCUACUCUCCCUUAACAAAUACUUUCGAUAGAUUUUUUUUUAAAGAUGCACUACCUAAUUAUCCUCCUACACACAUGUUCCUUCUUUGAGGCUCCUUCCUUUCUGUCUAUGAAAAUCCAUCCAGCAGAUACCCUCUCUCCCAGCUAAGCACUGACUGUGACCUCUGUCUUGGCAACCAUUACCUCCUUGUCCUUUGAAGUGACAGCAUGCAGUGGUGGCAGUAGGAUGCAUUUACAACAGAGCAGGCCUCCUCAUGCAACUAGUAUUUCCAAAUGCCUAUUAUUUAAUGGUGUGAUUUGGUGUUUUACCCGCCUGCCCAGUAUAAUGAAAAAUGUAAAAAGAGAGGUAAUUUUCUGUGAUUGUUCUAAGUAAGAUUAGGAUAAUUCUUCUCCAUAAAUAAAUAAUCAAACAUUCAUUAAAAAAUAAACAUGUUAUCAGUAGAAAUCAGCAAGCAGUUUAAUAUUUAUUUAUGCAAUACACAUAUUUAUAUUUUAACUUCCUCCAUUCUUCCCAAGCUCCCAACCUAUUGGUAGCUUAGUUCACUUUUGGAAAAUGUAUAACAGCUAUUCACAAAUUCUAGGAGAGGUACUUGAUAAAUAUUGAAUAAAUGAGUAACAUCGUAUGCUGUACCCGUAUAUUAUCUCAUGUAAUUCUCACAGUAACCCCUGAGAAAUGGGUAUAUUAUCAUCAAAUAAAGAUAGGAAGAGUUGAAGGGCUUGAGUAACCAGCCUACAGUGACAGAGCUAGUAAGUGAAAGGGCCCAAAUUAAGCCCAGGACUCCACAUUCAAAUUUUUAUGUUCUUUUUAGUAUCGGCACCGUGCUUCCAAAUGCUGCAUGGUAGGAGCUGGGGUGAGUCACGUGACUGGAUUUGGAUGCAAUGGGAAGACAGUAGAUGAGAGUCUCUGGCCUGUGUUGUCUUCUAAAAAUACUUUUUGGAGGAACUAACUAGUCCUUCCCCCAGAAAACAAACCCAUGAUUUAUAUCUCUUGGUAUAGCUUUGCUUUGUCUAUCACUCAUUUUAUAGGAUCUUAUGAGACUUUAAGGGCAUAAUAUCUUUAAUAACAUAAUCAUGAAGAAAACAUGCUAUGAUGAAAGGCCAUUAUAAUGUAGCAAUUUAGCCCUAAAGUAAUAACCCUCAACUGUAAAUGUUACACCAUUUAUAAGAUUGUUUUUUUCACCAGACAAAAAGUAUUUAUUUGUGCUUGUCAUAUAAACAUGUGUGAUGUACAUAGUUAGUAAAACUGAUAGUAUUAAUAAAAAUCUUAAUAGGCUUCAUGAUUAGAAUAAAAUGAUAUUUUGAUCCAAAUCCCUAAUUAGAACAGUACAUUUACCAACUGUUCUCAUGGGAAAUGGAGCCAGAAUUCAUCAUUUAAAGUAGUACCUAAUUAAUCCUUUUUUGUAACAGAUGUCAACCUUAUUUUCAAAUCUUUUGUAGACAAUGACUUGCUGUAUGAAUCUUUUAAUUGUGUAUCUUGGGUUAUUUAUUUUUAACAUUGUAAUACGUGGUUAAAUAAAGGAGAUAUAGAUAAUCAGUUUACCUUUGGUUAACUUUUAAAUCUGGUUAGCUACUACAGUAGAGCUAUGGAAUGUUGAACACAACAAAUAUAUUUAUGGUUCCAUCAGAAUCAUUGUUAAAUAAAAUGUAACAGUAAAUCUGUUAAUCACAGUAUAGUGGAGAAGCCCUGAGCUUGGGAGCUAGGAGACCAGCCCUCGAUUGUGACCCUGCCAUGAUUAUUGCAUGAACUCAAGCAAUGUACCCCGUCUUGUGGACUUCAGAUACUGUAUGUGCGUUACAAGGCCACUGGACUACGUGACUUUUAGGGACCCUUCCAGGGUGAAGAUUCAUUACCUUUGAAAAACUACUCAGUUUUUAUGAU